rnacentral:tRNA from 1 species
UAAUAAAGUGGCAGAAUAGUGCCUUAGAUUUAAGCUCUAAAUAUAGACGAAGUCUCUUUAUU